CACGUAGGGCGCGAGCGUUGUCCGGAAUUAUUGGGCGUAAAGAGCUCGUAGGCGGCCUGUUGCGUCCGCUGUGAAAGCCCGGGGCUUAACCCCGGUCGGCAGUGGAUACGGGCAGGCUAGAGGUAGGUAGGGGAGAAUGGAAUUCCGGUGUAGCGGUGAAAUGCGCAGAUAUCGGAGGAACACCGGUGGCGAAGGCGGUUCUCUGGGCCUUACCUGACGCUGAGGAGCGAAAGCGUGGGGAGCGAACAGG
rnacentral:rRNA from 1 species